rnacentral:misc_RNA from 1 species
AAAUAAACCUGAACGAAGCGGAAAGCCCACAGGCAAGCGCAGCGAAGACGAGGACUUGCAGCAAAGUGCAGGGCUUUCU